UAUUCAUGUAAGUGGUUGUCAUUCCUAAUUGUACAACUAGCACAGUCCGGGGAUUAAACAUUCUUGUAAUGUUGUUCACUUUAAAAGUACAGAAAUACCCUCCAUAUAUGAAGUAACAUUCAGUGGCUUUGUUGGAAAAUUCUUCAAAAGCCAAAAUUGCCCAUAUCAACCAUUAAGAGGUACCAUUCUCGCUCUUAAAUUGAGUGAUCUCUCUCUUCCUUGAAAUCAUCAAUUUCAACAACUGCACACAACAUCAGAUUUCAGCAAUCUCACCCCUACCCAACUACCUUACCCACAUAAAUUUAUUAGUACAUAUACUUGAGUCCCAAAAAAAACAGUCGUUUUACAUACAGAUUCAAGAACCCAGUUUUUGAGGCGAAACAUGGCUAUUCAGUUGGAGAAUUUGGUGCAGUCUAUAAAGUCUACGGUCAGAUCCUUAAAGAAAUCGAAGAAGCCUUAUGUAAAAAUGGACAAGAGUGCAAGUGUUAAGGUUGAAAUCCGCAGCAAAAAAGCCAGAAAGCUCAUUGACAAGACUCUCAAAGUUGCUGAUAAUCCUGGAAAACAUAGUAUUUCUUAAAACCUUUACAUUUCUCCCUCUAGAUCUCUCUGUUUCUCUCUCGAUAUAUAUAUCGACAUUAAUUAAGUGGCGGAUCCAGCACCUGGCGAGCACCCGCGACCGCGCGUGCUGGAUUCGCCAACAGCCAUUUUUUUUGUUGAGAAUAGAUAAAUGUUUUAGGUUAUAUUUCUGAUUAUCAUUUUUCAUUUAACUAGACCCUCUGGCCAAGUUGGUGAGUGCCGGUUUUUACUUCUUGGAGGUCUCAAGUUCAAUUCUUCAUCAAUCAACUUUUUUGUUCAAUUUUUUUAGUAAAGUACAAUUUUUACCAAAAAUUAAUGGAAUGAGGAGGAAGGGAUUCGAACCUGGAGCUAUUGUUAAAAUUAUUAAUGGUUUGACCAUUAUGCCAAUGGUUGAAUUGUGAUAAUAAAUUUAACAAAUUUUUAUAUAUUAGAUCUUAGCUUGUUUUAAUGCAACAAUACAAAUUUGAACUCGUGCUCUUCUUUUGAAUUAUAUAAAACUUGGC
rnacentral:lncRNA from 1 species